CCUACGGGUGGCUGCAGUGAGGAAUAUUGGUCAAUGGACGCAAGUCUGAACCAGCCAUGCCGCGUGCAGGAAGACGGCUCUAUGAGUUGUAAACUGCUUUUGUACGAGGGUAAACGCAGAUACGCGUAUCCGUCUGAAAGUAUCGUACGAAUAAGGAUCGGCUAACUCCGUGCCAGCAGCCGCGGUAAUACGGAGGAUUCAAGCGUUCUCCGGAUUUAUUGGGUUUAAAGGGUGCGUAGGCGGGAUGCCAAGUCAGCGGUAAAAAAGCGGUGCUCAACGCCGUCGAGCCGUUGAAACUGGCGUUCUUGAGUGGGCGAGAAGUAUGCGGAAUGCGUGGUGUAGCGGUGAAAUGCAUAGAUAUCACGCAGAACUCCGAUUGCGAAGGCAGCAUACCGGCGCCCUACUGACGCUGAGGCACGAAAGCGUGGGUAUCGAACAGGAUUAGAUACCCCUGUAGUC
rnacentral:rRNA from 1 species